UCACCGAACACAAUAAACACUCUAGGCCAUGAGAUUCAUGAUAACAAGUCUGCAUAGUUAAGUGAAUUUGUGGUCGUUUUGGAGCAAUGAUUACAAUCAUGUAUGGUGGGGAAAAAGAUGUGUGGAGUUAAAGAUGCAAAGAAUAUACAAGACAAACACGUCCUUGGUUUAAUAUACUUCUGUCAGCACAAACAAGUUUGGACACUGGUCUCUGACCUUUGACCCUGAAAGUUAAGCCAAACUACUGCAAUUCUCUUCGCACUACACUUUUAUAGGGAGAUGCCGUAAUGCUUGUGGGGAAGAUAACCCAUGAGGAAAUGCAUACUGCUUAAACUCAGAUUCAGACGACAACAACAUACUGACCAAGGUGAAGCCAGGGGACGGUCGCAGCUCAGAUUUCCCUCCAGCCAAAAUAGUUUGGCACAAUUUCCACCCAUAGAUAUGUUGCCUCACUUGCCUCUCUUGAAUCUCUCGGCGGGAUUGUGAAGUUGAGUUAUAAAAACGCCGAACCGAAGGGGAGCUGCUUCCCUGGACUCUAGAAAGCAGAGUUUUCUAUCUUUCAACCUAAAGCCAAAAGGAAAUUUGCGUUGUUCACACCGGUAGAGGGUGUUUUGACGCAGUGCUGUUCACUUAGCAAGCUAAAAGACACACGAAGCCUCUAGGUGAAAGCUGGACAGAUGUACCAGGGCCUUAUUGUUUAUGUUCACGAGUAUGAAUCCAGUGCUUUCCACCCGGAGGAGAAUGACCAUUGAGGCCAACAUCACUAAUCGUAUUUAGCUUAAUCCGUUUGGUUGAAAAUAGCAGAAUCAAACAUCUCUCUUCCAUUCGGGGCAGAAGGCACCUGGCUGACUAUCCCAUCUAUAACCUAAUCUCUUUGGGCUAACGCUGUCACCGGAUAACGCUGGACAGCUAUGACUGCUAACGAUAGCGGUUUGCUUUCAUGUUAGCACGGCUGACAAAGUACAACAGCUCUAACCCAAUCCUAAUGUUGAAGAAAGGCUUGUUAUUCUUCUCAUGUCCCCGUAUUGACCUCCGCUGUUACUGAGCUCUGUCGCUAUUGACUCAUUUGAACGGAUAGCUUGCGCUUUCGGAAGUACUUUUGCUUCGUGGCUAUAGGGAAAUCGUCAGAAAACUACAGGGCACUGGUUUCAACACUGCUCAUUGAAAACGUGUCAUAGAAUUAUAUAUAAGGAAUCCAUUUACCUGAGCUGAUGGACUCCCGUCAAUCGUCACUGACUGUCAAAUAACACACAACGGAAAUCGGCAUCCGUUAGACUCCUCCUCUUUUACUCCCAGUAGAACCUUGACCAAUCAUCGACAGAAGCGCUGUGACAAAGAACCAAUAAAAACGAAAAGAUGGAUUGAAUCGCUGAUUCCCCGCCUACUUCCAUGUAAAUAAAUACUCGGUAUCCAAUGCUUCUCAAAGUCGAUCCAUGAUUGGAUAACAUCCGGGAUGGCUAACGUUGCAUCAACCAAUGAAUUCUGAAGAUUUCUAAUGUCUCUACCAGGUUUUGACAUCACCCAUCCAGCAAAAAUCUGUGUACGCCAUUCAGCACCUCAAUCAAAGCAGGGACUUAAACGGACUCAAACCUUAUGUUCAUCCUCACCAUUACAUCAUUAUUAAUAUUCAAGCCUCAUCCUGUACUACUAAAAACUUCUGAAAUAUACUGUGCACGUAAAAACCAGUAUUAACAUGUUUACACAGUGAAAGGAGAAAUAAAUCCAAAUUCAUUAAGGUCGAUAAUUUCAUGACCACCUUAAACUUUGAUUUAUGUAAGGCUUAAUCAACGAGUUGGUAUGAGACUCUGUUAUCCAAGAUCACAUUUCAGUGUCUUUCUAUAGUAAAUCUAUCAAUUCUUUUUUUCUUCUUUUUUUUCAUGAUUCAAACUUCUCGAUGUUUCAAACCUCAUAAUCUUUCACAUAUAUUAUGUAUUACUCAGUUUCCUACUUUUCUUUCUUAUGACACUUUUUAUACUUUCUCCUCUUUAAUAAUUUCAGUUGUUCUUUAAGACCUUUAAAUCAUUCUGACUAUUCAUGCAGAAUACUGUUCCUUCAUAUAAUUUUCAACUCAUUCAAGCUGACUGACACCUUUCUGAUGCUUCAAACCUACUAAUUUUAACAUAUUUUCAGCAUUCAACCAUUUGCAGUAGCAGUUUACUAUCAGCAAUUUAACAGCAAUCUCUCUCAGAAACUGCAUUUUCUAGUUAUUAUUCUUUCAUUGUUUUUUGCACUUCAACUACUUCCACAUACUUUAACAUAUUCAAACCAUUCAAAAUUCAAAAUAUUCAUCCCAAUUCAGACAUCUGGGCUUGUAUUCAGAAUUCAAAUUGUAAGAAUAGGUUUUUUAGCUGACUCCUUAAGGACAACCAGAGAAGUCUUCAGGCCUCAGAUAAACCUUUUUGUAUGAUCACAGGUAGAGUAAUACAGCGCUGGACUCGUAAUGACAGAGCUCUUAGGAUUUCCAUUACAAUGAGUGCUCGUUUCCAGGUGGAAUUCACAUUUACCUUCUUGGGCAGGAGUUGCUCUGGACACAGGUUGGACUUACACACACGAGUGUCACUGGCCGGUUAUCUCUGAGCGAACAGGCAAACCACUCUUCACUUGGUCUUACUAAAAUGUGUGAUGAAAUAUGUUUGUGUGUUGACUUUGAGGUGUGUAUCUACUGUAGCAAACCUGUCCGGCCAAUUAAAGAGAGACUUAUGUCUCAUCAGGUUCCUGCUUGUCGAGCUAAAUGUCACACUGUUCUAAUAAAAUGAAAACAACCUGUGAGUAAAUGAAAAUAUUGAGUUACAAUAGUUCAGUGGAAAAGCACUAAUCUGAAUCUGAAGUGAACAGAGAAAAGACAGUAAAUUAUAUGCGCAAUUAUAUGUGACAAAUUACUGAUUUAAAGUGAAAAAAUUAAUCGCCAAUUAUUACGCUAACAUUCAUACUUUGCGCAUCAUUCCUGGUUUUGGAGUGUCAUUUGCUGCUGUUCUUUAUUUACAGAAAAUGACCACAGCCUUUCAGCCUUGAGUUUAAGUUUUGUAAAGCCUUAUAGUACUCAGACGUUUAAAUAUUUACUGUGGGCAAUCACAGUUUGUUGUGUUUAGAGUUAUUUUUUGUUUUAAAUAUUUGUGUGAUAUGGCCAUAGACCAAAGCUGUCAAACUUAACCUACAGCGAGGGCCAUAAUCUGGAUUUAGGUCUAACCUGAGGGCCAAACAGAGUCAAUAUUUAACCAAAAAUGUCAACCACCUUUUCAAAAUAUAUGUAACAUAAACAGCAAUGAUUAUAAAUCAUUUGAAAAUUCAAAAAAGAUAAAAAGUUUAAAUGCAAACUGAGAUAGAAAAAUUAUUUCAUUUUUUAUUUUAUUUUUAUAUAUUAGUUCAAAAGAUCAGAACAUGAUAUUAAAAAUAGAAAAAUAAUGCUUUUAAAGAGCAAAUAUAUGAGGAGCAAGUUGAAACCAUGUGUAAAGGUCAAAAUAUUAAUUCAAAACUAUAAAUUGGAAUCUAAAGUAUAUAAAUGACAAAAGUCUAAAUACUGAGUUGAAAAAAAUCAAUGCAUGAAAUAAAAAAUCAAAUAAUGUUUGACUUGUUAUCUUGGGAUUCAACAUUGAAAAUAUGAAAUAAAAUAUCAAUUAUUUUUUUCCCCCACAUCCUUGACUAUUUAUAAAAUCUUCCUUACGUUUUACUGUCCUGGAUUUUUGUGUUUUUUAAGGAUAUUUUAAAUAAUGGUGCUAAAGUUUGCAUUAUUUAUCUAGAGGAAAUCUGCAGACGUCAUACUGGUGGGCCGGUAAUAAUAAAAAAUACAAUACGAUAUCUUGGGCCAGAUAAAAUUGUUGCACGGGCCAGAUUUGGCCCCCGGGCCUUGAGUUUGACACCUGUGCCAUAGACUGUACAUAGAAUGGACGUCUUCUGCCUCCUUGCUGGGUGAAGCCUCUGAGAUAACAGCACCCUC